CGGCGGCGGUGAAAACCCCGGAAGCCCCGCCCACGUACGUGAGCCGCAGGAAGCGCCCCUGUUCUUGGCAGGCAUUGGCCUCAGAUGCCUUCUGGGUAAUGUGGUUUCCCUCCUCUGAAUCCAACCGGGCAGGAUGGACUUAACCAGGCGUCUUCCUCCGAGGGGAGGGAGCACAAGCAAGCGAGCAACCGAUCUGCCUUUUUAAGUGGCCACAACUCGGAGGACCAAGGGGCAGGGGUGAAGCCUCCACUCUGUGCCUGGGAAGUUGAGGCUCCGGCGACGGACAUUUGUCAGGGUGGAGGCAUAUGAAAAGGCGAAGAACUGGCCUUCUGCCCCAGCUGGCCUGGUGACUUCCUUUUUUCGCUGUUGCUCCAUGAGUGCAAAGGUCUUCGUUUUCUUCACUGCUCACUGCUGUAUCCCCUCCCCCAACUUCUAAAAAUGUCUAGCACAAAGCAGACACAUCAUAGACGUUUCAGAAAUGGAUGCAUAUGGCACAAAACCAAAAUGAUAGGACAAGAUUAGCAGUGAGAAGCUUUAUUCCUACCUAUUCCUUGAUUCACAAGUA